rnacentral:rRNA from 1 species
AGUGAACGCUGGCGGUAGGCCUAACACAUGCAAGUCGAACGGCAGCACAGUAAGAGCUUGCUCUUACGGGUGGCGAGUGGCGGACGGGUGAGGAAUACAUCGGAAUCUACUUUUUCGUGGGGGAUAACGUAGGGAAACUUACGCUAAUACCGCAUACGACCUACGGGUGAAAGCAGGGGAUCUUCGGACCUUGCGCGAUUGAAUGAGCCGAUGUCGGAUUAGCUAGUUGGCGGGGUAAAGGCCCACCAAGGCGACGAUCCGUAGCUGGUCUGAGAGGAUGAUCGGCCACACUGGAACUGAGACACGGCCCAGACUCCUACGGGAGGCAGCAGGGGGGAAUAUUGGAAAAUGGGCGCAAGCCUGAUCCAGCCAUACCGCGUGGUGAAGAAGGCCUUCGGGUUGUAAAGCCCUUUUGUUGGGAAAGAAAAGCAGCAGGUUAAUACCCCGCUGUUCUGACGGUACCCAAAGAAUAAGCACCGGCUAACUUCGUG